rnacentral:rRNA from 1 species
UACAGAGGGGGCUAGCGUUGUUCGGAAUUACUGGGCGUAAAGGGCGCGUAGGUGGCCUGUUAAGUCGAACGUGAAAUCCCCGGGCUCAACCCGGGAACUGCGUCCGAGACUGGCAGGCUGGAAUCCGGGAGAGGGAUGUGGAAUUCCAGGUGUAGCGGUGAAAUGCGUAGAUAUCUGGAGGAACACCGGUGGCGAAGGCGGCAUCCUGGACCGGUAUUGACGCUGAGGCGCGAAAGCCAGGGGAGCAAACGGG